CUCACCAGUCUUGUUUUACUGAAGUUGUGUUGAGUGAUUUAUGAUGCAGUGGAUUGUGGAAAGCUUUGGCAGAAAUGUCUCAGCAAAGGACAGAAACGGCUGCACCUCAUGAAUUUUUAAUAGACUUGUCAGCUGACUCUCUUCUAUCUAUCUACUGAAUAUAAGGUUUGUGCCAAACUGCAGCAGAGAGGACAAUAAUGAUAAGCAUGGACCUCUAUUGAUAUUUUGAGGACUUCAAUAUAAAUUUAAGGAUUAUGUUGAACUGUUCCUGUGAAAAUUUUCCAUCAUCCCUGCUGACGCUUCCUGGAGUAACAUACUGAAAGAAAUGAGCAUGACCAUCUCUUUUGAGAACAGCACUGUUGAAAUUCUCAAAGGCUGUGCUGAGUGUCACUGAGAUGGGAACAGAGGCAGCAACCACCAGCGCCAGGCAGGUAGUGUUCCUCAAUUUGUCAUGAGUCUGUCAAAACAGACAGACUCCUCUUGGUCCUCACCUGAAGAACUCGACUACAUCCUCUUCAAGAUCAACAACCCUGCAGCCAUGUAAAGGCACAUGCUUGGAAAAUAAGCAUCAUGAUCAAAAGUAUCAUCAUGAGGAUCCCAUCAUAAUCUAACCCACUGAUUACUUACAGCAUACUGAUAAUGUAGCAAGAAAUGUGCUCGAACAGGCACAUCUGUCUUUGCAAGGGAAUGGAAGUAAUACUAUGAAAGAACACCCUGUUGAUGUAAAUGAAACCUCUAAUGAUGAGUUAAUCCAUUGAUCAGUUGAUGGUCAGAAACUUGACCAGCAGCUAUUUGUGAUUAAAUAAUAGUUUCAGUCCUUUUACAAGCAGAAAAUGGCAAAAACAAAAUCUCGCCCGUGGUCAGCUGGUAUGGUUGGAUACUUGUCCCACACUAAAGUAAAUUGAAUAUCUAGGUUUUGGACUGGUGGUCACACAAAACAGCAUUUUCCAUUUUAUAACUAAACUAAUACCAAAAAUUGAACAGUUUCACUGUUUUCUGAUAUUUCAUAUACCAAUUAGUAUAAAAAAUUACCAACAGACUAGUAUAUAAUGAAAAUAAUUGCUAUAGUGCAUCCCGAAUCAGAAGCAGGUUGAAGGGCUCUGCAUGUUAACACAGAGGUACCUUGAAAAUAGAGACACUGAUUUCAUUGUUCUAUUUACUCAAAUACACAAAAUAAAAAGUAUUUAAAUUCGAUUCAACUAUUUUAUUUAAUUUCACAAGUUGUUCUUGGUGAGAUGUUAUUGUCUCAAAUCUUAUCUUUCCCUAUCAGCAUUAGCUAACUGAUGCCAUUCCCAUAUUUGGUCAUAAAUUCUAAAUUAGCUGUGAUGUUUCAUUAAAACUCCAGCCAUGCGUCAGCUGGAGGAACACACUCAGUAUCAUCUAGUGGCUGCUGAAUAGUUAAAUUUGGCUGAUGAUAACGGCAGGGAGAAGCUGUGUAACCUGAUGGCCAUCAGCCUUACACCACUCCUCGUCCUUUGACCUGUCAACAAAAGAGUUGCUGCAGGACCGGUUACACAAUCAGUACACUUUGUCUCCCCUGUCAGCACCCACACACGGUGACUUCUGCGAAGGACAUGAGUAAGAGACGUCUGAAUCAGAAAGCUGAGUGGGCAGCGCUUUCGAGGUGUUGAAAUGGAUCCAAUCUGUCUGGUCUGCACUGCAUAAGCAGGGACUGCUGAGGACUCAGCAGCACUGAAUCAGAAGCUGCAUUCAUUUGCAUGGUCACUUCUGAGCCGAUCGCUGUUACAUAUGGCCCACAUGAAGUUGAAGAGAGCCAUAAACUAGUAAGUUUUAGUUUCACAACUAAAAAUAAGUCACAGUAAAUUGAAAAGCAUGCACUGCUUUCACUAAAAACAAUGAGGUAAUAAUUAUAAAAAAAAGAGAGUUUGCUAACAGGUUGCCCUAUUGUACAGAAAUCAGUGGGAUGUCAAAAACAAAACAAACUUUUUCUCAUAUGUCUAAAGAACAACAUUGCUUGCAAGACAUUUAGUUGUACUGCUAAGUAUACUGUAUGUGAUUUGUAGUAAAUGAACUUCAAAUCACAAAGGCACUGAUCAACGAGAUGGAUGUC